CCGCUUUAGUACUAUUCAAAGUCCCAAUUGUGCCAAAUUCCAUAAAGACACAGUUGCACCAUAUCUUUCACUGAAUGAUAGGAUCUAGCUUCAGCUGUUGUCAGUUGUCAUGAAUCAUUUGUGUAUUAGCAAGGUCAGUUGAUCAAUCAACACAUUUGAUUAUCCCUCUGUAUUUCCGGACUGUUCUGUGCAUGCCACUACUGCAAUUCUGGAGAAUCCUUUGGUUGUAGUUCAGUAAGAUGAAACCUCUGUUUUUAGUUUUAAUUGAAUUAUGCCUUUGGAAAUACCAGUGUGCUUUUAAAAGGUUCUCUCUUGAGCUGCACCAUUAAUGAUUGACUAACUUACUGUUCAUCUUAAAACAAAGUGACAUUUAAUUUGUACGUUGAAUACCUUACUGUUCAUCUUAAAGAAGUCCUAAUCUAAUUAUAGCUUUGGAGAGACCAGUCUGCUUAUUAAAGGCUCUCUCUUGAGCUGCAGCAUUAAUGAUUGGAUCCCCUUACUCUGUAUGGCAUGAUCUUGAUACCUAUAUUAGAAUUUAAUGAUGUUGUUCCAUUUACAUUGCAAAUCUACAAAAUUUGAUUGUUUUGUGCCAACCAACUGCAAUUUUCCAAAUAUUGUCUCAGAGCCGCCAUCAGAGUGUAAAACCUGUAACUCGGAGUUUAUAUACUUCCUUUUUACGGUCUUACGCCUGAUAUUAAGCAGUAGAGCAAGCAUGGAGAAGACCUGCAAACAUCUCCUUCUGGCUUCUGCAUACUGCUUCUCUUUAUUAUCUUUUUACCCUUAGCUUGCCUGGAUUGUCGUGUCCAACAUACUGAUGAUAAUUCAAGUAGCUCUUUUGGAAGUGAUUUGGAUGUCAAAGCCCUAAAACAAAAUAGUGCGGUCAAGGUUCUUAGAUACACCUCUCGUUAUCUGAAAGUUUUGGGAAUAGUAGAUAAACCUCAACCAAAUUAUUUUCUUAGGUCAAUUGACUAUAUGCCAUCGAGAUUAUCCUAGUUUCAUUAUUUAUCAUCGACAAAGUUCGAUUUCACUUUACACCACUGAAAUGCCAGAUUCUUCACUUCAUACCAUCGCCGUCGCAUGAUGUCUAUUUAUGCUCUGUUUGGCCAUACGAAAAGUCCAUUAUACCCCUAUUUUGUGGGUUAUGGAGCAUACUGAAAAUUUCACUCUAUAUCACUCCACCAAAUAAGCAUAUUUUCCUUGUAGGCCGCAUCGCCCCAGCCGUCCCUCCUCAUCGCGGGUUAACACAUCCAAUCAACAUACACCGAAGGAAUAACCUACAGUAUGCAUGCAAGUUCAAUAAUGACAACUCCGGAUGAAGUGCAAGCCUAUGCUAGUACAAGUCUAAUCAAUCAUUUGAGUCAAAUUUCUAAUCUCAAAUAGCAUAUUAUGCCUCUCCCUCCCGCCCUCAUGUCCAUUUUUUCACCUGAAUAAUACAACAAAGCUGGCAGCCAUCCCCUCAUCUGAUCAGUUCACAUACAAAUCAAACAUAAGCUAUAUUGGAAGCUGAUGAACACAGCAGCAAUCACACAGUGCACUAAAGUAAAAUAAAAAUAGCCCCAACGCCUGUGUUGCUUCAAUAAUAGGAGUCACUAGCAUAAUCAAUCAUUCCUAAGCAGGUACUCCAAAAGCAUACCAAUGUGAUAUCUAAGCCUGAAAGUUCAAUCUCUAUUGAUGCAAUAGUGUUGUGGAAACUACAGAUCAUCUCCAAUUUGAGAAGACUUGAAAUAGUAUCAUGUAUGAGAAACCCUAGCUUUUCCCCAAUCCACUCACCUGCACGACGGGGAACUUGAGCAACCACCUCCACCGGCCAAAGUAGUAUGCCGCGAACACAGCGCCCAGCAUGGCCCCAUGGAACCCCAACCCAGCGACGACCACGCACCCUGCGUCCUCGGGGAGCAGCGAGGCGGUGGCGCCCACACAGAGCGCGCCGCAUGAGGCGAGGAGGGAUGUCGCGAGUGCGCGUUGCGACAGCGGAGACAGUGUGGGUGCGGGGACACGGACAGGAGGAGGGUGAGCACGAGGAGCCCAGUGGCAACGCAGGAGAGGAGCGGGUGGGGCGCGAGGAGGAGGUCCUGGGCAAGUUCAUCAGACAAUGGUUUGGGGCUAUGUUAGACCGAGGGCAAGAUUGGCAUUUUGAUAAUGUCUGACAUGAAAAUUCAUGGUAAUAUCAUGACAAUGGCAUAGAGUGAGUUUUUUGGAUUGACAGUGGUACACAGUGAAAAUGAACUUUGUUGAUGGAAAAUCGACAAUUGAGGAAAAUGUUCUACCUGUACAUAGCUUGGAUCAGGAAAAGGGAGACCUGUUGACAUGACUGAUCUGCAUAGUUUUGGAGCCAAGUCAUUAUUUGACAGAUGAUGUAGCGAGCCUCGAAUGUAUGGAAAGUCCGUCGUGGCGCAUGUGUGGAGUUGUAUGGAUCUUGCUUAUCUUGGAAUGACUUUAUGGCCAGCCCUGGAGAAACGACAACGACGACUUUUGGUCGUGGAUCGAGUAUCAUCUCAGCCACGUGUAGCUUAGACGUGUGUAUUUAGGAUUUUUGGAUGCGGUUGUAUGCUUUUGGUGUAUAUUACGAUUAGUGUGAUAUAAACUCUAUGAUUAUGGUGAUUAGUAAUAUUAAUCUCAUUUAAAUUAA